AGAAUCAACGCUGGCGGCGUGCCUAACACAUGCAAGUCGAACGCGAAAGCCCCGCAAGGGGUUAGUAGAGUGGCAAACGGGUGAGUAACACGUGGGUGACCUGCCUUCGAGUGGGGGAUAACGUCCCGAAAGGGACGCUAAUACCGCAUGAUAUCCUGCCUUUGGAAAGGUGGAGAUCAAAGCUGGGGAUCGUAAGACCUGGCGCUUGAAGAGGGGCCCGCGCCUGAUUAGCUAGUUGGUGAGGUAACGGCUCACCAAGGCUACGAUCAGUA
rnacentral:rRNA from 1 species